rnacentral:rRNA from 1 species
UACAGAGGUCUCGAGCGUUAUGCGGAAUCACUGGGCUUAAAGCGUGUGUAGGCGGAUCGUUAAGUACCUUGUGAAAUCCCACGGCUUAACCGUGGAACUGCAUCGGAUACUCUCCGGCUAGAGGAAUGGAGGGGAGACUGGAAUUCUCGGUGUAGCAGUGAAAUGCGUAGAUAUCGAGAGGAACACCAGUGGCGAAGGCGAGUCUCUGGACAUUUCCUAACGCUGAGGCACGAAAGCCAGGGGAGCAAACGGG